rnacentral:misc_RNA from 1 species
UUUGAGGAAGGGAUUGACAGGGUAGGAAAAUUGCCUUCCUCUAUUAUGGGUUGUGGUGAAAGUAAAGGUUCCCAAAGGCCAUAGUUCAUGAGGAAAUUAACCAUACUGCCUAACAGUUACUGGUUAAUUUAGCACUGAUGUUGGAAACUUAGAAGUGUGUAUUGUGAGUUAUAAUGUUUUACAUUUUGAGUUGAAUGUUG